rnacentral:rRNA from 1 species
CCCCGCCUGAGAGUGAUGGAGAUUGUAUGAACGGCGGAACCUUUUUCAACUGUCUCUUCCCCCACCCUUCUAAAUUCUUUCCUGUGUGAAGAAACCCAGAUACAUCAGAAAGACGAGAAGACCCUGUCGAGCUUUAACCACUAGGUGAGUUUACUUAUCCCUUUUUAAAUAUCACCAAAAGGUUUUGGUUGGGGCAACCACGGAGAAAAAAAAUCCUCCAGAUUAAAUAGAAGAAAACUCUUCACUAUUACGCUUUCAAGAACCAGGAACUGGUAAUCGGAAAAAGUUACCGCAGGAUAACAGCGUUAUCUCCUCUAAGAGUCCUUAUUGACGAGGAGGCUUGCGACCUCGAUGUUGGAUUGGGGCCCCCUUAGGGUGCAGAAGCUCUAAACGGUUAGACUGUUCGUCUAUUAAAGCCCUACAUGAUCUGAGUAAAACC